AUACGUAGGGAGCGAGCGUUGUCCGGAAUUACUGGGUGUAAAGGGAGCGUAGGCGGGAGUGCAAGUCAGAUGUGAAAUACAUGGGCUCAACCCAUGGGCUGCAUUUGAAACUGCAUUUCUUGAGUGAAGUAGAGGUAAGCGGAAUUCCUGGUGUAGCGGUGAAAUGCGUAGAUAUCAGGAGGAACACCGGUGGCGAAGGCGGCUUACUGGGCUUUUACUGACGCUGAGGCUCGAAAGCGUGGGGAGCAAACAGGAUUAGAUACCCUGGUAGUCCACGCUGUAAACGAUGAAUACUAGGUGUAGGGGGUAUCGACCCCCUCUGUGCCGACGUUAACACAUUAAGUAUUCCACCUGGGGAGUACGGCCGCAAGGCUGAAACUCAAAGGAAUUGACGGGG
rnacentral:rRNA from 1 species